CUUCAGCAGUGGUACCACUCACAGUAGCAGUUUAAGUGCGCAGAAGAUGAACGAAUCCGCCAAGGGCAUUUC